GCCAUGCAUGUCUAGUACAGAGACUAGUAUUCUAWAACCGCGGAUGGCUCAUUAUAACAGCUAUGAAUUGAGAGAAAUACACUUUAUUGCUACAUUAUACUGUAGAUAAUUCUAGGGCUAAUAUUAUUAAGAAUGCUGUGACUUCRGAAGCAGCGGAUUUAUUAGUUCAAAACUAACCUGUCUGCAAAGGCGGUAUUUUGAUGACUCUGGAUAACUUUACUGAUCGUACAACCUUGUGUUGACGACKAAUCUCUUGAKAUGGCUGACCUAUCAACUUUCGAUGGUAAGAUCAAAGCUUACCAUGGUUGUAACGGGUAACGGGGAAUCGUUGUUCGAUUCCGGAGAGGGAGCCUGAGAAACGGCUACCACAUCCACGGAAGGCAGCAGGCGCGUAAAUUACCCAAUACCGGCUCGGUGAGGUAGUGACAAAAAAUAACAAUAUGGGCCCUAGUGGUUUCAUAAUUGCAAUGAGAAUAUUUUAAAUACUUUAUCAAGUAUCAAUUGGAGGGCAAGUCUGGUGCCAGCACCCGCGGUAAUUCCAGCUCCAAAAGCGUAUAUUAAAGUUGUUGCAGUUAAAAAGCUCGUAGUUGAAAWUGGGGUAUCUAAAUGAAUUUUAAAUCUUUCGAUUUUAGUUCAUUAAGACCUUGUUUGUCGUGUAUAUUUUGUGGGUGCUUUAUUGCAUUUGCUUAAUAACCGGCUAGUUUACUUUGAAAAAAUUAGAGUGCUUAAAGCAGGCUUAUGCUUGUAUAUUGUUGCAUGGAAUAAUAAAAUAGGACUUUGGUUUUAUUUUGUUGGUUUUCGAAACUGAAGUAAUGAUUAAAAGAGACUGCCGGGGGCAUAUGUAUGCUGGUGUUAGAGGUGAAAUUCUUACAUCAUCAGCA
rnacentral:rRNA from 1 species